rnacentral:lncRNA from 1 species
AAGAUGGCCGAAUAGGAACAGCUCCGGUCUACAGCUCCCAGCGUGAGCGACGCAGAAGACGGGUGAUUUCUGCAUUUCCAUCUGAGUUAGGCUUGGCCACAAGAGACAAAUUGCAAGGCAUGGAGACAUUUUUCUAACACUUGAAAAUUCUAUGCAAGAGCACCAGGCAGCUCAGUCACCUUGUCACUUAUCUACUGGGUCACCUUGUUGGCAUGGGAUGCCAGCCAGGCUUGCAGCUGCUCCAUCCUCCCCUGAAUUUGUACUUCAGCUUCUCCACUCAUGGCCUGCCCUGAGGACUUCAUGGUUCAGCAUCAGAUAUGAAGACGACAGCCCUAUAGAGACUAUUUAACCAGCUUCUAAGGUGGUUAAAUAUCUUACCAGCCUAUGUAAGGCCGAAUCCUACUAACAAAGCACUGGUAUAUGUAAUAUCCCAGUGGUUUGCUUCUCUAAUUGAACCCUGACUACUACAGGUAAGAAUUUUGACAAGAAUAUAUUAAUUCUUCUAGGAUGAAGAAAGGGAAACUCACUUCAGGUCAAUAGAGAUUGUCAUUUGGGACCCCUUCAAGACAACCAAUUAUAUGACUGUCUCUAAAAUAUUGCUAUCCAGCCCCCAUUCCUCACUUUUGUCCUACUGGUAAUAAGACAUUCAUCGUGUAUCUUUCAGAAGUCCAGAUACCACAGUCUGAGUAGUUCUUUAAUCUGCUUAUCUGGUGAUUCCAUCACAAAUGGUUCAGUUUCAGAUACUUCCAGAGACAACUGCCUUUAGAGGAGUCAUACACAUUCUCCUUCAGCCUGGACACUAACUCAGUAAGCAGCAGCUUCAGAAUAAUGCACCUGUGAUCAGGCCAAUUGGGAUAGAGGCAUCAUCUGCCCUUAUCUUCUCAGAGCCAAAGAAACUAACUUAAUUUUCCGUAUCAGCUUCAUUUUCCCCUUUACUCAAUGCCCAGAGAUUAAUUCUUGGUUUCAGCCCCACCCCAUGAAAAGGAUGUCUAUUCAAUCAGAGAGACACAAAGAUGGCUUGUGCAAACCAAGCAAAAAAGACACAAGAGGAAUUUAUUCUGGUUAAUAAGCUGAGAGCAAACAUGUAGAGGCUAAUUGUAUGGUGAGUACAAGAAGAGUUUCUUAUCUGGGGAGUGUAUAAUGUUGGGGUAGACACUGUCAUUUGUUUUCUUAUCCAAUAGCCAUCAUUCUUCAUUGCUUAGAAAAAAAAACUUUGUGCUACAGCUGUCAGGCAAGUGGCAUGGGAUUUAGGAGAAAAUUAUUUGCUGUCAGCCCUGAAGGAUGAAGGAAUCACAAUUUCUCUGUACAAUCAUGGUAGUCAGCUUUCAAGAUUCCUCCAAUGAUUCUCAUCUCCUGCUAUUCAUGCCCUUGUGUAGUUAUCUCUUGCACAGAAUAGGGCUGAUGUGUGACCAGUAGGAUAUUAUGGAAAUGGCAGAAUUUGAUGUUCAUAAAAGAUGUUGCAGCUUUUACCUCGCUCUCUCAGAUUAUUCACCCUGGAGAAGGCUGUUGUUUAUCUUUUCACAUUGUGAAAACAUUCAAGUGGCCCUCUGUGAAGUCCAUGUGAUUGGGACUUGAGGCUUCCUGACAAUAGCCACCACGAAUUUGCCGACCAUGUGAGUGGCACAACUUUGUUCAGGUGACUGGAGGCCCAGCUGGCAUUUUGCCUGCUAUUUCAUAAGAGACUCCAAGCCAGAACCAUCCAACAGAGCCAACUAAGUCUCUUCCAAAUUCCUGGCCCAAAGAAACUCUGAGAGAUAAUACAUAUUUAUUGUUAUUUAAGCCACUGAAUUUCAGAGUAAUUUGUUAUGCAGAAAUAAAUAACACCAAUUGUGUUGAAUCCCAUUUCUCUCUCAUGGUAUAUAUGUAGUCAGAAAACCAUAGACUAAAAUCCACAGGCAUAUAUGAUAGUCCUUGACAUUACCCAUGUCUUAGUUUAAUAAUCCUGGCUAGUUAAGUACUGCUAAUCCAUAUCUCCAGAAAAAUUUAGAAAGCCCUGAUUUGCAGUGUUUACCUAGUUGUGUGGUGCAAAUAUUCCCACUGGUUGACAUCAUGCUACCAACACAGAGUUGGGAAGAAAUGCACACAAUUGGUUCUUGCAAGCUCAUAUGAGCCCCAACGCACCACUGAAUUGAGCUCAGAAGAAAUAGAUUGGGUCAAGUAAUCAUACUGACCUCUGCCUGUUUGGCCAGAAGGAUCUUCAGAGGUAGUGUAAUGUUUUGACAAUAGCUUUAGGACCAAAUGACCAGGAACAUAAUUUUGCCUAUGCUGUUUUCUGGCUGAGUGACCUCAAUAGGUACUGCUUAUUGGCAAUAAGUGUCAGAUUCUUCAUCUGUAAAAUGAGGAUGGCAAUUUCUGCUCAUCAGAGAUUUGAGAGAAUUAAGUGAAAAUAACAAUAGCAAAAACAACAGUUAUAAGUACUUACUAUAUAUCAGGCCAGAGUUGCUUAUAAGAUAUCAUUACUUAAUUUAAUAAUACAGGCAAAGCAGUAGGGACUAAAUGAAUGCUAACUAUCAGCAUUGUUAUUACAUUUCUGAGCAGGGAGCUGUUCAUUAGAAUGAACACUGAAUCAGAAAUUGUUGGAACUGACCUGUCUCCUAUUUUCCAACCUCAAUUCUUCGUCUUCCUAAGUUGGGCAAAAGGCUCCAGUGAAGAGCUGUGAGGCUUAUGUAUGGGGACUCACCAGGGGCCAGCCCAGGCUGCCCACAAGACCAUGAGCCACCCUGUGACUGAAUGAAGUGGAGAGAAGGGAAAGUAGUUAAGAAAUCAAGAAAAGUGUCUUUCAGCACCAUGGCCAGAAGUUGUGCCACAGAAUUGGAACAGGGAAACCCAGAGAGCCAGUGCUGUCCUAGUCCUAGUGCUGAAUGAUCCCAUUGGUGUCCUUAGAAGGGCUCUGACUUCAGCCCACCAGCAGCAUGUGGACUUAUAAGCUUUCUAGCAGAGUUGGAGAUCCCCAGGAAAAAGAAAUCUCUUAAAAUGAAAUGAAACUUCAAUCAACCAAGGCUUUCUAGCCUGAUGUGAGUUGUCUUUACACACAUAUACCUUUUUAACAAAGAAGAAGAAAAGAAUGGACAUUGAUAGAACUUGCAUUCUGUGUUCAUCACCAGGAUAGUUGCUUUAUAAAUAUCAUUUUGUUUUUAGUCACAACCCAAUGCAGCAUUUUCCUUACUGACAAAGAACCUGAGGCAUGGAGAAUUUAAGCAACUCCCUGAAGGCCACCCAGCUAAUCAGCAGUGGGAAAAGAAUUUAAUUCUAGAUCUUUCAUUCUAAAGCCCAGCUCCUUACACACGUUGGAUGCUACUAUUUCCAAAAUGUCAACAACACUUUGGACUAUCAACCUGUCUAAAGAGUAUUUGAAGCAGGUAAUACAAAUUGUUUUCUAAUUUAUUAUGGUCAGUUCUCUUCUUUGAAUCCAGGUGAUGCUGAUGUCUUCAUACCUCCUCUUCACCCUUCAGAAGAGGUCCUCUUGCUUCUAGAAAGAGAAUACAAAUAGCUACAUUCCUACUCAGUGGGAGAAAGUGAGACUGUUCCAGAAGAUGAGGACUUAGGCUGGUAAUGUCCUGAGGAAAUGACUAUGCCAACCUAGAGAUCCCCUUGUGUGUGUGAUGCAGGCCUCUGAAGGAAAAGGUGCACAUUUUCAACAAUAAAAGAGAGACAUUCCUUUAGUGUAUCUCCACAUUCCCUGAAGGGGAGCUGGAAUGACAUGACGGACUUGGCCUCAGGGCCCCAAGCCUUCCCUGUUGCAGUCUUCAUGACACUCCUCAGAAGCAGCAACUCCAGCCAUGUCUGGAACCAUUCCUUACCAGACAGGAGGAUAUCAUGGCCUCAACUCAUGAUCUGUACCAAGCCAAACCUCUUUUGGGGUACCCACCAAGCCUCAGGCCUCACCUUCUCUGCCCUGUUGUCCCUGCCCAUCUGUCCUGGUUUUCUACUAGUUUCCACUACUGGACACUUGUCUGAGGCUGGGUCCCCACCUGGAUCUUGUGGCCUCUUGCCCAGGGCUUGGAGGGAAGCUGCUCCCACACUUGAAGAUGACAGCUGAGCAUGGUCCUUUGUGGGCGUGCUGUCAGGAAGAUGACAGUGCAAUCUGUUUAAUGUGCCAGUUGUCUCUGUGAGUCCCUCAUCCGGAUGAGCACUUGUCACACCCCUGCAGAGCCCCAGCUGGUUCUUAGAGAGGUGCUCCAGCUCUGUGAUUACCUAAUCUGGCUUCCCAAUCUAUCCCACAAUGUGUCAUUGCUGAGGUCCCUGUGGGUCUUGCAGAUAAACUUGCUACAGUCAUCCUACACAAAAAAGAAGCUCGUUAUCAUGAAACCGGCCUGCUUUUUAGCUCCUGGGCCCUAACUCACCCCAGAUUGCUGCCAGCUCUUUUGUUUUCCCACUUAGACCAAAGGGAUUGAGAAGCUUUCCCAUUCCUUGGAGCUGCCACCCUCCAUUCUAAGGCAGUCUCCCCCUUCACCCUGCUUGCUGCACCCCAGAUGCUGCAAGGCCCAUGUGCUGUUUUUGACUUCAGUACUUCAGAUUGCUGUGGGAACACAGGAGGCAGCAGCCAGAUGAGAAAUUGAGUCUGACUCUGGAGUAUUAUAAAGUCCUUAUAGUUACUGGCAUUAGGUAUAGGGUCUGUAUUAUUAAAGAGAAAUUAUUCACCAAACACUUGUUAAAAAUGGCAAGACAGUUUAUUUAAGAGCAUUGCAAUAGGUAAGUGCUAUGGUCUCAAUGUUUGUGUCUCCCUCAAAUUCAUAAGUUGAAACUUCACUUCCAAGAUGAAGGAAUUAGGAGGUGGGCACUUUAAGGGAUGAUUAUGUCAUAGGCCAGAGCCCUCAUGAACGAGAUCAGUGCCCUUCUAAAAGAGGCAUUGGGAGAGACCCCUCACCUUUUCCAUCAUAUGAGGACACAGCCAGGAAGCAUCAUCCACGAACCAGAAAAUUGGCCCUUACCAGACACUGAAUCUGCUGAUGUCCUGACCAUGGACUUCUGAGCCUUCUGAACUGUGAGAGAUAAAUUUCUGUUGUUUAUAAGCCUUCUGGUUGAUGAUAUUUUGUUAUAGCAGCCCAAACAGAAGGGGACAGGGAGAGAGAUGGAACUCAACUUCAAAUACAAACAGGGACAAGUGGGGCUUUAGAGCCAGUGGGCCCAGUGAGGCAGAGGACAGAGAAUUACUAUGGGGAACUUGGGAUAGGGGAGAGAGACCUGAUUAGAUAUCAAGGGCAGGGGGGAUUCCCAAUAAACUGCCUCAGCAGAAUUUUUGCUAAAACUGGGCUCAGCAGGCCAUGGAGGAGGCCUAGUUGAGAAGAGGGCUCAGAGUGUGGUCAAUGAGAGAGGCUUUGUCAGUUUCAGUCAGGGUUCUUCAGAGAAACAGAAACAAUAAGAAAGAGAAAGAUUGAGAUUUAUUUUAAGGGAUUGAGUCAUGCAAUUGUGGAUGCUGGCAAGUCUGAAAUCUAGGGCAGGCCCUUUGGAUAGAAAUUCAGACAAGAGUUGAAAUUGUAAUCUUGGGCCCAAAGUCUGCAGGGCAGACCAGUGGGCUGGAAAUCUAGACAGGAUUUCUAUGUCAGUUUUGAGGCAGAAUGCCUUCUUCCCCUGACACCUCAGCUUUUGCUCCUAAGGCCUUCAUCUGAUUGGAUGAGGCCCACCCACAUCAUGGAGGGUAAUCUGCUUUACUUAAAGUCUGCCAAUUGUAAAUGUUAAUCACAUCUACAAAAUGCCUUCCUAACAACAUCCAGACUAGUUGACCAAACAACUGGCCCCAAUCGCCUAGCCAAGUUGACAAGAAAAAUUAGCCUUCACAGGGUCUGAAGAGAGUAUGUGGACACCUAGACAGGUAUGUUCAGUCCAUCUUUGCUUCCAAGGGAUGCUCACAAGUCUCCCCAGUUGAUCCUAUUUUUUAGGGAAGACAAUGCAGAGGAUCCUCCCCCACCCCCAUCACCCCUUUCCAUAACCUAGAGAUAAAAAUGAAGUAAGAAAGAUUUGUUCCUGGGCCGGGUGUGGUGGCUCAUACCUGUAAUCCUAGAACUUUGGGAGGCCAAGGUGGGUGGAUCACCAGCUCAGAAGUUCGAGACCAGCCUGGCCAACAUGGCAAACCCCCAUCUCUACUAAUAAUACAAAAAUUAGCCAGGUGUGGUGGCGGGCAACUCUAAUCCCAGCUACUCAGGAGGCUGAGGCAGGAGAAUCGCUUGAACCUGGGAGGCGGGGGUUGCAGUGAGCCAAGAUUGUGUCUCUGCACUCCAGCCUGGGCAACAAGAGCAACAAAAAACAAAAAACAAAAAAAUUAAAACAAACAAACAAAAAAAGAGAUUUGUUCCUGUACCUCAAGUGGACAACUGAUGUCCAGAGACCCACUGGACUGAGAACAUCCACCUUCCUCAGUUUCUGACUGCCGAGCAAUGAUGACUGGGGACAUUUCAUGCAGGUACAUCACCGAGGAGUGAAGAAAGUAGUCACCUGAACCAAAUAGUAAGGUCUCUGUCCCAGAGAGCCUGGGGGUUUGGCAAAAAUGCUGUGAACACCCAUAUGGGCAUUGCAUUGUUAAUCUGUACAUGUGAACAAGAAAGGAUUAGCCCCCAGACCUCAUACUCAAGGAUGAUUGUAGUGGAAAGUCCCACUUCCCAUUGUGCUUCUGCUUCCUGAUGCUCAAGAAUAAGCUUUAGGCUUGACCAAGUGGGGGUGGGAGGAAACACAAACAGAAACUGCCACUACCCUCCCCACAAGUAGAAAAAUUUAAGCGUGUCUUGUUCUCUAAUGAAGUUUUGUAACAGUAGCCUACAUGGUGAAAACAAAGUCGAAGCCGCCUCCAGCGUGCUUAAAACCAGGUUUAAGCUGCUGGCUGCUACUGUUGCUUCACCAAGCACCUUAGUUCCAGGGAAUGGGCUUCAUCUCUGUUUCACAGAGAAGUCCCCUUUGCCAAAGAAUGUGGGUGGCCUACAGAGAAGCAGGGCAGUGAAUAUACUUUCCCUGCCUUCUGUGAUGCAUUUUCUUCGUGCAGCUCUAAAGCAAGAUUGUUUGUUGUUAUAAUGACGGCCUUUCCGUCUUUACUUACAACAUCCUGUUCUCCCAGGACAUUAAAGGCUGGGCUGAGAGACAAAGCUGAGGGACGCCUAGUCUGGCUGCCUCCCUGGUGCCAACCAAGUUCCUGACUGGAUCAGGCUCAACCUACAGGAAUUCCUCCCCCGUCAUUCACUCACUAAUGUGUUUUAAAAACAUAUUUUGAGUGCCUACUGCUGGUGCUAGGGAAACAGCUGUGACUAACCAUCUCUGACAUUCUGGGGUGCCCAUCCUCACAAAGGAGGCCUCUGCUCCCAGCACACCAGUGGCAGAUGUGUCCACAUAGAUCCGACUCCA